ACCUGGGUGGCUCAGUGGUUGAGCGCCUGCCUUUGGCUCAGGGCAUGAUCCCAGAUUCCCAGGUU
rnacentral:tRNA from 1 species